rnacentral:rRNA from 1 species
AUUGAACGCUGGCGGCAGGCCUAACACAUGCAAGUCGAACGAGUGGCGGACGGGUGAGUAAUGUCUGGGAAACUGCCCGAUGGAGGGGGAUAACUACUGGAAACAGUAGCUAAUACCGCAUACCAUCGGAUGUGCCCAGAUGGGAUUAGCUAGUAGGUGGGGUAACGGCUCACCUAGGCGACGAUCCCUAGCUGGUCUGAGAGGAUGACCAGCCAAACUGGGAAUGGGACACGGUCCAAACUCCUACGGGAGGGAGCAGUGGGGAAUAUUGCACAAUGGGGGCAAGGCCGAUGCAGCCAUGGCGCGUGGUAGAAGAAGGGCUUUGGGGUGGAAAGUACGUUUAGCGGGGAAACGUUACUCGCAGAAGAAGCACCGGCUAACUCCGUGCCAGCAGCCGCGGUAAUUC